rnacentral:rRNA from 1 species
CCUACGGGGGACAGCAGUGAGGAAUAUUGGUCAAUGGACGAGAGUCUGAACCAGCCAAGUAGCGUGAAGGAUGACUGCCCUAUGGGUUGUAAACUUCUUUUAUAUGGGAAUAAAAUGUUCCACGUGUGGGCUUUUGUAUGUACCAUAUGAAUAAGGAUCGGCUAACUCCGUGCCAGCAGCCGCGGUAAUACGGAGGAUCCGAGCGUUAUCCGGAUUUAUUGGGUUUAAAGGGAGCGUAGGUGGAUUGUUAAGUCAGUUGUGAAAGUUUGCGGCUCAACCGUAAAAUUGCAGUUGAAACUGGCAGUCUUGAGUACAGUAGAGGUGGGCGGAAUUCGUGGUGUAGCGGUGAAAUGCUUAGAUAUCACGAAGAACUCCGAUUGCGAAGGCAGCUCACUGGACUGCAACUGACACUGAGGCUCGAAAGUGUGGGUAUCAAACAGGAUUAGAUACCCGUGUAGUC